rnacentral:rRNA from 1 species
GACGAACGCUGGCGGCGUGCUUAACACAUGCAAGUCGAACGGAAAGGCCCUGCUUUUGUGGGGUGCUCGAGUGGCGAACGGGUGAGUAACACGUGAGUAACCUGCCCUUGACUUUGGGAUAACUUCAGGAAACUGGGGCUAAUACCGGAUAGGAGCUCCUGCUGCAUGGUGGGGGUUGGAAAGUUUCGGCGGUUGGGGAUGGACUCGCGGCUUAUCAGCUUGUUGGUGGGGUAGUGGCUUACCAAGGCUUUGACGGGUAGCCGGCCUGAGAGGGUGACCGGCCACAUUGGGACUGGGAUGCGGCCCAGACUCCUACGGGAGGCAGCAGUGGGGAAUAUUGCACGAGGGGCGGAAGCCGGAUGCAGCAACGCCGCGUGCGGGAGGACGGCCUUCGGGUUGUAAACCGCUUUCGCCUGUGACGAAGCGUGAGUGACGGUAAUGGGUAAAGAAGCACCGGCUAACUACGU